GGGAAGCUGUAGGUUUAUUGUGGGGGAACAUCUGCUUUGAAUGCAGAAGGUUGCAGGUUCAAUCCCUGGUAUCUCCCA